GGAAAAUAAAGUUGUCAAAGUUGGGGCAGGUAUUGAUACAUUUGAGAUUUGUUCUGCCCAUGUAAGUCUGAUGGUAAAUAUUUACAGUAUGGAUCCCCAGGAUGUCCUGAUACUUGGGUUUUUCUAAAAGGAGAUCAGGAGUAGCCCAGGUUCUGCGAGUUCUGCAUUAUUUAUGUUUAAAUAAUCAGAUCACAUACUUUUGAAAUGCUGUGUCCUUUGGUAUUCAGUAAGUGCUUAGUAAAUACUUGCUGGUUACCCAUGAAGACCUCUGUUUCGUGGGUUAGCCUAUUCCUGGAAUACUUUUACUUUUCUCUCUGUAUACAUUUUUUAUCAUACACUUUGAUGGCUGUAGUGUCUCCUUCCCUCACUCAUGAUGGCAAAAUUGUCUUGGCUAUUUUGUCACAUUGACACAUAUACUGGUAGUGAUGGUGGGAUAUCUCCAUUCAGCAGGAUUUUAUUUUUUAUUUUUCAGUGUUAACUUUUGUGUUUUUAUAUUUUCCUGUUUUGGAAUAUGCAAUAAUUUUUUUAAUCUACAAAAUAUUUCAUUCACUACCUCUACUUUUAACAUCCGUUGUGCACUUCUAAACAUCUAGGAAUCCUACAUAUUUCAAAUAAGGUCUUAAAUUUGUCCACUAUGUACACAGUACUGUUGAAUAAACUACACACAUGUAACAAUGGUUAUGUCUGAAAAUGUCUUCUAAGUAGGAUCAUUCUGGCCUAGAAUCCUUCAUUUCUUCAACUUCUGUUUCCUAUGUCACAUGUGUCAUAUCUGAGUGUCAUAUAAUGUGAUAUUACAAUUUCACUUCUGAAAGAUCUUUUCAGAAGACUGCCUUUCUAUAAAUUUUAACAUAAAGUGUACAAAAUGUGUUAGUUUACUAACUCUACGUUUGUUAUACAUUGGCAACCUCUUUAAUAUCUAAAGGCUAAAUAAUAUAAAAUUAAGACUCCUUUGUCCAGUAUAUACACAAUAUAUACAGAACAGCAAAGUUAAAUGAAAUGCACAUUGCAGGGCAAUGGGUAAGCUAAAAUUGUCUAGCACACUCUAACAAAACACCUUUUGCAACUUCCCUCCUGCCUCCCUUAACCCAGUGAACAAGUACAGACAGUGAAGUUUAACAAUUCCAAACACAGUAUUUCCCAUCAGUUUUUAAAAGCUCUUUACAAAAAGAUUCAUCCUACUACUUCUAAGUUCAUCAAGCACUUAUAAAUAGGACUAGAUAUUCCACAUAAGAACCUGUCCAUGAUGCACCCAGAACUGGUAAAUA
rnacentral:lncRNA from 1 species